AUGGUGCCCGGAGCAGGGAGACAAGGGAUGCUCGGCCCGAACAAGGAUACAACACAGCUAGACCUACCAAGCCUAAACCAAGAGCGGUCAAGUCGAACCAGUGAGAAUACCAACAUCGUGAAAACCAAAACCGGGGACACCGCGAGCAAGCAAGAUAGCGCCUUCAAGAAGGAAUACGACGCCGAGACGCCAUCGCCAUCCGGUCUAGAGGACCUAGGGUUUCCCCUGAGCUCGAGGAGGGGCUCAGCCGAGGACCUUGACAACGUCUUCAAGAAGAUAACGACAUCCGCAGACGCCGCCGCUGCCAGCACCGGCAAGCCGGGCAAGGAUUUCACCCCGGCCGAAGGCUGA
rnacentral:rRNA from 1 species